rnacentral:rRNA from 1 species
UACGAAGGGGGCUAGCGUUGCUCGGAAUUACUGGGCGUAAAGGGAGCGUAGGCGGAUAGUUCAGUCAGAGGUGAAAGCCCAGGGCUCAACCUUGGAAUUGCCUUUGAUACUGGCUGUUUUGAGUAUGGGAGAGGUUAGCGGAACUCCGAGUGUAGAGGUGAAAUUCGUAGAUAUUCGGAAGAACACCAGUGGCGAAGGCGGCUAACUGGCCCAUUACUGACGCUGAGGCUCGAAAGCGUGGGGAGCAAACAGG